CACGUAGGGCGCAAGCGUUGUCCGGAAUUAUUGGGCGUAAAGAGCUCGUAGGCGGUCUGUUACGUCUGCUGUGAAAACCCAGGGCUUAACCCCGGGCUUGCAGUGGAUACGGGCAGACUAGAGGCAGGUAGGGGAGAAUGGAAUUCCCGGUGUAGCGGUGAAAUGCGCAGAUAUCGGGAGGAACACCGGUGGCGAAGGCGGUUCUCUGGGCCUGACCUGACGCUGAGGAGCGAAAGCGUGGGGAGCGAACAGG
rnacentral:rRNA from 1 species